rnacentral:rRNA from 1 species
CGUCCGUCGUGAAGAGGGAAACAACCCAGACCGCCAGCUAAGGUCCCAAAGUCAUGGUUAAGUGGGAAACGAUGUGGGAAGGCCCAGACAGCCAGGAUGUUGGCUUAGAAGCAGCCAUCAUUUAAAGAAAGCGUAAUAGCUCACUGGUCGAGUCGGCCUGCGCGGAAGAUGUAACGGGGCUAAACCAUGCACCGAAGCUGCGGCAGCGACACUAUGUGUUGUUGGGUAGGGGAGCGUUCUGUAAGCCUGUGAAGGUGGCCUGUGAGGGUUGCUGGAGGUAUCAGAAGUGCGAAUGCUGACAUAAGUAACGAUAAAGCGGGUGAAAAGCCCGCUCGCCGGAAGACCAAGGGUUCCUGUCCAACGUUAAUCGGGGCAGGGUGAGUCGACCCCUAAGGCGAGGCCGAAAGGCGUAGUCGAUGGGAAACAGGUUAAUAUUCCUGUACUUGGUGUUACUGCGAAGGGGGGACGGAGAAGGCUAUGUUGGCCGGGCGACGGUUGUCCCGGUUUAAGCGUGUAGGCUGGUUUUCCAGGCAAAUCCGGAAAACCAAGGCUGAGGCGUGAUGA